ACUUAAGUAGUUUAAUAAAAAUAUCGAUUUGUGAUGUCGGUGAUAUAAUAAUUUAUCUUAGGUU
rnacentral:tRNA from 1 species